ACCUCCGGGACGGCUGGGCGCCGGCGGCCGGGAGCUCCGCGCUUCCUGAA
rnacentral:miRNA from 1 species